UACGGAGGAGGCAAGCGUUAUCCGGAAUUAUUGGGCGUAAAGCGUCCGCAGGUGGCACCUCAAGUCUGCUGUCAAAGACCGGGGCUUAACCCCAGAAAGGCAGUGGAAACUGAAGUGCUAGAGUGCAGUAGGGGUAGAGGGAAUUCCCGGUGUAGCGGUGAAAUGCGUAGAGAUCGGGAAGAACAUCGGUGGCGAAAGCGCUCUGCUGGACUGCAACUGACACUCAGGGACGAAGCUAGGGGAGCGAAUGGGA
rnacentral:rRNA from 1 species